AGUCGAACGGACAAUUAUUUAUAGCUUUUGGCUAUAGGCAAUUGUUAGUGGCAGACGGGUGAGUAAUGCGUAGGAAUCUACCUAGUAGUACGGAAUAGCCAUUAGAAAUGAUGGGUAAUACUGUAUAAUCCCCGCGGGGGAAAGAUUUAUCGCUAUUAGAUGAGCCUACGUUAGAUUAGCUAGUUGGUAAGGUAAUGGCUUACCAAGGCUAUGAUCUAUAGCUGGUCUGAGAGGACGAUCAGCCACACUGGAACUGAGAUACGGUCCAGACUCCUACGGGAGGCAGCAGUGGGGAAUAUUGGACAAUGGGCGAAAGCCUGAUCCAGCUAUGCCGCGUGAGUGAAGAAGGCCUUCGGGUUGUAAAACUCUUUCAAUAGGGAAGAUAAUGACGGUACCUAUAGAAGAAGUCCCGGCAAACUCUGUGCCAGCAGCCGCGGUAAUACGGAGGGGGCAAGCGUUGUUCGGAAUUAUUGGGCGUAAAGGGCACGUAGGUGGACUAGUAAGUUAAAAGUGAAAUACCAAAGCUUAACUUUGGAGCGGCUUUUAAUACUGCUAGACUAGAGGUCGAAA
rnacentral:rRNA from 1 species